rnacentral:rRNA from 1 species
UACGGAGGGUGCAAGCGUUAUCCGGAUUCACUGGGUUUAAAGGGUGCGUAGGAGGGUAGGUAAGUCAGUGGUGAAAUCUUCGAGCUUAACUCAGAAACUGCCGUUGAUACUAUCUGUCUUGAAUAUAGUGGAGGUGAGCGGAAUAUGUCAUGUAGCGGUGAAAUGCUUAGAUAUGACAUAGAACACCCAUUGCGAAGGCAGCUCGCUACACUAUCAUUGACACUGAGGCACGAAAGCGUGGGGAUCAAACAGG